rnacentral:lncRNA from 1 species
CCAGGUCUGUGUGAAGGGUGGUGCUCACCUCAGUCACAUUUAUGCUGUCACACAUUCCAUCUCCAAAGCCCUGGUGGCCUACUACCAGAAAUAGGUGAACAAGGUUUGGAAGAAGAUCCAAGACAUCCUCAUCCAGCAUGACAGGACCCUGCUGUAGCCGACCUUGGUCAAUGUGAACCCAGUUUUCAGGCCCUGGUUUCUGUGCUUGCUACCAGAACUCUGACCCAUAAACCCAGCAUGAGGCCCGGGGGUCACCUUUGUAAUAAGAAUGCUGGGGUUUUUAAUUUUUAAUGUGAUAAAGAAGAGGGGGAGGAGGACACAGUUCUCUCCCAUCUUUCCCUUCUCUUUAUACUCAGACCUCUUAAAUAUUGAAACAUUUUACUCUAAGAUAUGGAUCUUAUCCAUCAAUUUAAAGGAUAUGUGAUGCAUUUCUCCAUUUGCUAGCAUGAUCAAAACCUCUUGCAGGGUUUUGAGAGACUCUUUUUUAAUUAUUAUUAUUUAUUUGCUCUGUUUAUUUUUGAGGCAGGACCUCACUGUAUAGCCUUGGCUGGUCCAGAACCUGCUAUGUAGUCCAGGUUGACCUUGAACUCACAGUGAACUCACAGCCUGCCUCCAGUUCCAGAGUUGGGAUUGAAGGUGUGUGCUAUCAUGCCUGACUCCUCUUGUGGGUAGCAUUGGACCUAUUUAUUAGUCACUAGGAGCCAUGUGAGUGAGGAUGCUGAGGUGUCAGGCAGCACUAUUUGUUGCAGAGACAGUAGCAUCUUGGGUAAAGCUCCUGAGAGUGAUGACCUGAGCUGAGCCUUGAGGAGCCAUGGCUAUCAGUAGCCAGCACUCUCCAGGUACAGGACCCUAACUGCUGUCUCCUCUGCUCUUACCAUGACAGACAGCUUGGAGCCUUUGCCUCUUUCAUCUUUCACCGGUACUGCCAGAUUCCCCUGGGGCCAAAAAUCCCUAACUGUUCCCAACUCCCUUGACAUACAUACAGAUCACAGAACUGACAUUAGGGGCCAAUGCUUUCAUCCACAGGGCCAGCAAGCAGCUGGAGUAGAGUGAGCUCCCAGUAAGAGGAUGGAAGAGGCAAGGUGUGUGUGUGUGUGUGUGUGUGUGUGUGUGUGUGGGUGGGUGGGUGGGUGGGUGCGCGCGCG